CUACGGGGCGCUCCAGUCGAGAAUCUUCCGCAAUGGGCGCAAGCCUGACGGAGCAAUGCCGCGUGAGGGAUGACGGCCCUAGGGUUGUAAACCUCUGUCAGAAGGGACGAAGAACGUGACGGUACCUUCAGAGGAAGCCAUGGCUAACUACGUGCCAGCAGCCGCGGUAAUACGUAGAUGGCGAGCGUUAUUCGGAUUUACUGGGCGUAAAGGGUCCGUAGGGGGUCUGCCAAGUCUGAUGUGAAAUCCUGCGGCUCAACCGCGGAACUGCAUUGGAAACUGGCGGACUAGAGUGUGCGAGGGGUGAGCGGAAUUCCUGGUGUAGCGGUGGAAUGCGUAGAUAUCAGGAAGAACACCGAUGGCGAAGGCGGCUCACUGGCGCAUCACUGACCCUGAGGGACGAAAGCGUGGGUAGCAAACAGGAUUAGAUACCCCUGUAGUC
rnacentral:rRNA from 1 species